rnacentral:rRNA from 1 species
UACGUAGGGUGCAAGCGUUAAUCGGAAUUACUGGGCGUAAAGCGUGCGCAGGCGGUUUUGUAAGACAGGCGUGAAAUCCCCGGGCUCAACCUGGGAAUUGCGCUUGUGACUGCAAGGCUGGAGUGCGGCAGAGGGGGAUGGAAUUCCGCGUGUAGCAGUGAAAUGCGUAGAUAUGCGGAGGAACACCGUUGGCGAAGGCAAUCCCCUGGGCCUGCACUGACGCUCAUGCACGAAAGCGUGGGGAGCAAACAGG